AACAAACCAAUUUUUCACUUUUUACCUAUAAUGUUUAACUCUUCGUCUUAUUCAAAAAAAACUUUACAAUUAACAUUUUUGUUUUUAUUAGAUGAUAAAUUAUGAAUAGUACUUAACGUGUAACUAAUUUUUUUUAAUUUCUUAAAAAACUUCAAAUAAGACAAAUGAUCAAACGUUGGACACGGGAACCAAAGAGUUGGUUUAUU
rnacentral:pre_miRNA from 1 species